rnacentral:rRNA from 1 species
UACGGAGGAUGCAAGCGUUAUCCGGAUUUAUUGGGCGUAAAGCGUCCGCAGGUGGUUAUGCGAGUCUGCUGUCAAAGCGCGAGGCUUAACUUCGUAAAGGCAGUGGAAACUGUGUGACUAGAGUGCAGUAGGGGUAGAGGGAAUUCCCGGUGUAGCGGUGAAAUGCGUAGAGAUCGGGAAGAACAUCGGUGGCGAAAGCGCUCUGCUGGACUGCAACUGACACUCAGGGACGAAAGCUAGGGGAGCGAAAGGG